rnacentral:lncRNA from 1 species
GGAAGCCCCAGCUGUGCAAAAUGGAUGCUGACUGCCCACAAUACGCUCCCUACUGCGGAGAGGGCAAAUGCCGCCGGGUGAUAACACACUGCCGAUCCGGCGAAGAGGGCAUGGCUGGAUGCAAGAGGUGCAUCUGCGGCAAGGGCGUCUGGGCCUGCGUGUAUAAGAGCUGUCCGGAACCAUUCAAACAUGAUGGAGCGGUGCCGUGUCAGUGGGCGAAGGAUCUGAAGCUAUGCCGCGACUGAUCCUCGGUUCUGCCUCGGCCACUGCAGCUGGAAUUGCAAGACAACAACCAACACGUUCAGAAGCAGCUUUAACCCUCGCCCUGACUCGCCCCACAUAAUAGCGCGGAACGAUAGAAAGUUUGAUACGACCCACCCCUCCGAUUUCCAAGCUAAGAAAGAUAGAGCCUCGCGGAGAAAACAGUGAAUUGGCCUCAACGAGCUCUCGCUAUUAGUUUGGAUUGGUGUUGACAAGGUGCUAGGUCAAUAACUGACCCCAUUCAGCCAGAUCAAAAGGCCAGUGACAAUACCAUGCCAGACAGAAACAUGAAACGACACAACGGUGUUUCUUGUUAAAUUUUGAGCACACUGAUGCAUUUUUAUGUGUUUUCAGCAUAUGUUCAUGGUGCAGGGCUCUGUUAAUGCGACAGUGUUGGCCCGACAUGUGCGAUCGACGGCUUCGUCGGUAGCCACCUGCCGGCCGCGGAUCGCGGAGUUCUUAGAGGGUUCUUACAAAACCAUUCCUCGUUGGAAACCAGGAAAGCUAGAAGCAUGCUGGUACGGUCAAAACACGCGCAACUAACGUCCAUUACGCUAGGGAAACUAUGGGCGUGAUUACACUACACGCCAAGGCGCUAUCCCCCAAAAUCUUAUGGGACUCACAUCCCCCCCCCCUCCCCCUUCCCCGCCGCUAUCGGAGCGAGAGUUAAUACGGUUAAUGGGCUUCCUGAAUUUGUGAAGACUUCGAGCACAAAAAUGCACGGUGCGCUGGUAAAUGGACGCACCAAGAACUGUGGUCACUAAGCAAGGGGCGCCAGCACAUCUGAUGCACAUUGAAAUUUGAAGCCAUGAUCCGGAACAAUGCAUUCGGUACGAACGCUUGUCUGUGAGAACCCUGAAAAUAGAUUUUUGGAUGGCCACAAAUGCAGUUUUUGACACCGCUCUGUGGUGCUCAAUAUUUAAUCGGACACGUUACACCACCACAUCUCUGUGAUGUAUUGCAAACGGUGUUCUAUUAAUUAUUUUGUAUUUGGUUUGAACAAUACAUUGUCAAG